CUGCGCGAACCCGCUCAUUUGCCUCCCGAGCGCGCCCUCUGCGUGUGCGAGCACAGACCGCCCGUGCGCACCGAGACUCAGCCAGGUCACGUGCUUGUGGCGGACAAGGCAGGCGUUCAGAGAGAUAUCCAGGAAGUACAACCUGGCCAGGCAGUUGAAGACGACCAGGAAGAUGGUGAUGAUGAAGACGAACUGUCACUUUGAUUUCACAUUUGCAACCAACAUCUCAGAUACUGACACUGCACAUAUCUUAGAGGAUAAUUAGAGGUGGGAUCUGCACAAAAUGGACUGAAUUUAAAGGCCACAGUGGUGGCCCUGUCAUCAUAUUUUCUGGUGAAUUGGCUGCACCCCCACAUGAUGUGGCCCCACCCACCGCUAGUAGAGUACCAGUGGCAGCGGGAUGAAGCCCUCAAUAGGCCUCCAAGUGGAAAGGCCAUACACAACCCUUCCUCUACCGGACUUAAUUGUGAUAAGUCAGGAAGACGACAACCUCUCCACCUCAUGCCUUCCCACUCAAUUAGGAGAUCCCACAGCCUCCCUGCCUGCUUUGGGUGGUGGGGGUAUUUAAGUUCCACCCAAUGAUACACUUGAGCACAAGUGUUCUGCAGCCAGGCCAGGGGCCAAGAGUAGCACAUGUGCCAACUCCCUGGAGAGUAAGGGCAUAGAAGACUUGGAUGAGCACUUGGAUGGAGCCAGCCACAGAAGAACACUAAUGGGCACGCACAAUUGGUACCUUGGGAAAUCUGUCAGAAAACCUGUGGUUAAUGUCAAGGAGCAGCACCUUUGGUUUGCCCUGGUGGCAGUUGGCACAGAGGACGGCUGCAGAAUGAAGGCAUUGUGACAGUUACCAGGACACCGGACUGCUUGCCGAGUUCCCGUGGCCCCAACACCGCAGAGAAUUGACCUUAAGAUCUUUGAUCUCUCUCAAACCCAUCCAUGGAUCCAGCAAUAGUACCUCAUGGAUGUUCUGCUGUUUCGACCCUCAUUUUCUACCUGUUCUCCACUUCUUUCACUUCACCAUUAGCAGCACCAUUCCCCCCCCCACCAACCCUCUGGAUCCCCCUUGCUUUCAAAAACCUUUCCCUUCUCUGCGAUGGUGCUUCAAUCUUCUCUAAACUCCAUUCAUCACUUUCUCCUUCUUGAUUAGCCCAUUGCUGUACAAAGUAACCUAAGAAGUAUCCAUGUAUAAGGAAAGCUUUA